AUGGAGUUCAAGGAAACUGAUGCUACACACCAAUGGGACAAUAUACCUUUAAAAGCAGAAAGGCAUAGAAUUGAAGAUAAGAGGAAAAGAGAACGAGAAAACAAAGAAGAAAAUCGGCAUAUGAGAAAUGGCAAAAAAUCUCCUGCAGAAUAUUUGCAGAAGACUAAUAAAGAAAUUAAAAAAACUACUGAAUUAAAGGAACAGAAUGGGACAAAAACUGAUAAAAAUGAAGUCUCUAAUAAUGAAUUUUCUGAAGGAAUGGAUAAUAAAGAGUUUGCAAUGAAAGCAGAGAACGGUACAAAAGAAACAAACAAUAAAGACUUAAAGUUAAGUUUUAUGGAAAAAUUGAACUUAACUCUUUCUCCUGCUAAAAAGCAGCCUUUUUGUCAGGAUAAUCCACAUAAAAUAACCGAAACUUCCAAAUCUAAUGACAUACCUGGUUUGGAGUCCUCAGUGCAGGCUGAAAGAGUGACAUGCGUGCCCUCUGUCAGUGAACAUAUCACUGAGAAAACCAGAUCAAAGUUACUGGAACCAAAGGUUGCUCUUCCAGCAACAUCUGAACUCAGAAGCAAUAGUUCAGAAAGCAAAAUAGAAGAAAGUAGAUUGCUAGUUCAGUCUGUUGAGAAUAUUAUGCCUUGUGAAGUACCCAUUUAUGGUCCAGAGACUUCCUUCACAUCUGUAGAAAUAGAACAAACCGAAUCCUUGUUUACAUCAGCAGCAGAAAUGGAAAAAAACAUUGAUGGUGCAACAGCAGCAGAUUCUGUGGUAAUGAAUGUAUUACGGACACAUGGUUCUCAAGACUUUAGCCUGGAAUUGAAUACCAAAAGACAUGAUGGUUUAAAUUCUUGUGAUAUUUCUGAAAGUAUGGAAAUGAAGGAGGGUCCUUCAACUAAAGUGGUUGAAACCAGUGAAAGCCUUCUGCAGCCCUCAGUUGAAGAAGCUACCAUUUUGCCAGUAAACCUUUCAGAAAUAGAUAACCCCAAAUUUAAGCCGCCUUCUACAGAUACACCACUAAGUGACAGUAAGUCUUGUCCUUUGGAGACCUGUAUAUCUAAAGAAGCUCUAGCAUCUUCACUUCAGCAGACUGAAUUAAUGAACCACAUAAGAGAAACUGGAGAGACAAACUCAGUAUAUCAUGAUGAUGAGAACUCAGUUUUGAGUAUUGACCUCAAUAAUCUGAGACCUAUUCCAGAAGCCAUCAGUCCUCUGAAUAGUCCAGUGAGACCUGUAGCAAAAGUUCUUAGAAUGGAAAGCCCACCUCAAGUUGCAUUGUAUCAUAAAGGUGUGCUUCCACAAAAUUCAGCUCAUUCAACUUCCAAGAAUCAGUCUGAUCUCAACAAGGAAAAUCAAAAACCAGUUUAUAAAUUUGACAGAUGUACAGAAGCAGACUCCUGUAAGAAUUCAUCUUUACAUGAACUAGAAGAAGGAGAAAUUAUAACUGACAGUGAAGACUCCAACCUACAAACAAGUUUGGAAAAAGGUUCCAAGUCUAGAUCUUCUGCUGCAGUGCAGAACACAAAAACUAGCCCAGGAAGUAGGAAAAGUACUGCUCAUUUGAAUAUAGACUGUAAGAAAACAUAUGUAAAAAUCCACCAAACCAACACCAGAUGGCAUAAAAACCCAAGUGGAUCUAAGCAAUCUUCAAAAACAAAGAGAAAAGAUGAAACAAUGAGUACUUCCAGUUUGGAAAAAAUAGUUUCAAUUAUUGCUGUACCCUGUUCUAUAGGAGAGAUUAUGUAUAUGUUACAAAUGAUUAAAAAGCAUGUAAAGAAAAAUUACAUGAAAUUCAAGGUAAAGUUUUCAUUGUUACAAUUUCACAGAAUUAUUGAGUCAGCUAUUUUGAGUUUUACAUCACUAAUUAAACACCUUGAUUUAUCUAAGAUCUCUAAGUCAGUAACUACUUUACAGAAGAAUCUCUGUGAUUUUAUAGAAUCUAAACUUAAGGAAGUUAAAAAGAAUGGCAUAGUUGAUCGCUUAUUUGAACAGCAACUGCCAGAUAUGAAAAAAAAAUUAUGGAAAUUUGUAGAUGAACAACUUGAUUAUUUGUUGGCCAAGCUUAAGAAAAUCUUAGUAAAGUUUUGUGAUUCUAUAAACUUUGGAAGUGACAGUGAUGAAGAAAAACUUGCAAAGUCAAAAAAAGACAAAGCACUGUAUUCAAAUAGGCAGAAGGGAAAUGUGGAGAACAACAAAGAAAUGCUAAGAGAAAAAUUGCUAAAAUCAGAAUACUCUGUAAAUUGUAAGUCUUUACCAGGAUCUAAAAAAACUGAGGAAAAACAUCAAGACCAAAAUACCUCCAGUUUUAACAUAAUAAAGCAUGACAUUAAAAGAAAUUUUAACACCUGCUUUGAUAAUACAAAGAACUCUCAAUCUGAAGAACACUCCUUGGAACUAAACUGUCCAAAAGGCUCAAAGCCAGCAGAAGAAAAUGAAGGCAAUGCUGUAGAGGAUUCACAAAUGCCCCAGCAUGUAUCUUUGAAGCCAGAACGUAGUUUUGAGAUUCUUACUGAACAGCAAACAUCUAGCCUCACUUUUAAUUUAGUGAGUGAUGCUCAGAUGGGUGAAAUAUUUAAAAGUUUAUUGCAAGGUUCUGAUCUUUUGGACAACAGUAUUAACUGUACUGAGAAAUCCGAGUGGGAGUUAAAGACUCCAGAGAAACAGCUGCUGGAGAGUCUUAAAUGUGAACCUAUACCAGCAUGCACAACCGAAGAGCUAGUUUCAGGGAUGGCUUCUCCAUGUCCUAAAAUGAUUAGUGAUGAUAAUUGGUCUUUAUUGUCAUCUGAAAAAGGUCCGGCUUUGCCUUCAGGGCUUUCUUUGCCAGUUCAUCCUGAUGUUUUAGAUGAAAAUUGUAUGUUUGAGGUAUCUACUAACCUAGCCCUAAAUAAAGAUAACGUAUGUAGUUCAGAAAAGAGCAAGCCCUGCAUUUCUUCCAUACUCCUUGAAGAUCUUGCAGUCUCUUUAACUGUACCAUCACCUCUGAAGUCAGAUGGUCAUCUCAGUUUCUUAAAACCUGAAUUUUUGUCUAGUUCAACUCCUGAAGAAGUUAUUAGUGCACAUUUCAGUGAAGAUGCCUUACUUGAGGAAGAGGAUGCGUCUGAACAAGAUAUUCAUUUAGCUUUAGAGUCCGAUAAUUCAAGCAGUAAAUCAAGUUGUUCCUCAUGGACAAGCAGGUCUGUUGCUCCUGGCUUUCAGUACCACCCUAAUCUACCCAUGCAUGCUGUCAUAAUGGAAAAGUCCAAUGAUCAUUUCAUUGUGAAAAUACGGCGUGCAGCUCCAUCUACCUCUCCUGGACUCAAACAGAGUAAGGUAGCCAAUGAGUCAUUGGUAUCUUUGCCCAGAGAUGAAAAAGAAACUGAUGAUACAGCAAAGAAAGAACAUAUUUCAUGUCAGAACACAGGUUUUAAGUCUGUGGAGGAUUUGGAAAAUUGCAACAAAAAUGAUACCAGUAAAUCAGCUAGUGAAGGACAGAACUCUGUGAUACAAACACAGGUUCCUGAUAUAUAUGAAUUUCUCAAGGAUGCUUCAGGUAAAGUCAGUCUUAAUAAUGAAGUGCCUGUUGAUUGUUUCAAGUUGCAUCAAGUAUGGGAAUCAAAAGUGCCCGAAAACAUUGAAGCAUUGCCUGCAGUGGAAGAAAUUCCACACUCUGUUGAGGAUCAUCUUCCAAACACAUUAAUAAACUUAAAAGAUCCAGUCACUGAGACAAAAAACUUGGGGGAAUUGUUAGAAGAAACAGUUUUAAAUAUUGAUCAGUUGGGAUGUUCUGGAGGCAAUUUAGAUCAAAAUGCUAAAAUAUUAAAUAAUUCUUUGCAGCCCGAAACUAUAGAUGCUUUUAUUGAUUUGACACAGGAUGCUUCAAGCAAGAGUAAAAAUGAAGGUAAUCAUCCUGUGUUAGCAGUGGAAGACUUGGAGUGUCAAGUGAUAUGUGUAGAUGAUGACAGCUUCAGGGAAAAGGUGGAAAUGGCAGACAGGUCUUUGGAAUACAUUGUUGAAGAAACUUGUAUAGACUUGACCACAGAAUCUCCUGGUUCAUAUGAAGUAAAGAAAGAUGAUUUAAAAUCAGAACCAGCAUCAAAUUCUGAUGGUUCAGAGUUGCCUGGGACUUUAACUAAUGUUCACAAGAAAAGAAAAAAUUUGUCUGAUUUAAAUCAUUCUUGUCAGAAAAAACAAAGAAAGGAAACAGACCUAACCAGUACGGAAAAGACUAAGAAACUCAUCCAAGAGUCUAGUGAAGAUGGUGACACUCAUCAAAAGAAAGCCAGUAAGAAAAGGGCAGUGAAUAAAGAUUCCUCAUCAUUAACAACAAGCCCAGGGUUUAAUAAUUCAGCAGCAGCACCUAGCACUUCUCCUACUACAAGUCUUUCCGCAAAGAAUGUUAUUAAAAAGAAGGGAGAAAUUACAAUUUUAUGGACAAGGUAAGAAUUUUGUGAAGCAUUUUAAUCACUAGGAAAUUUUGAGAGGUCAAUCUAAUCUGCGAUUUCAUUAGAAUUUGUUCCAUUUUAAAAUAAGGAAAAUAUUUAGUUACUUCCAAAAAGUUGGCAGUACAUUCCAGAGUACAGUAGCUGUACUGUAAAAUAAAUAAUCUAGAGUUAUUUUUGUGUGUAUGUGCAUAGUAUUAGAGAUUGAACCCAGGACCAACCCAGGACCUCAUAUACUAGGCGUGUAUCCUACCACUUAACUAUAUUCCCACCCCUUUCUAUUUUUGAGAUUGGGUCUUUUUUUAAAAGUUAAUUGUAUUGGUACAUUUUAGAUAUAUAUGAUAUCAUUCAUCAUAUGGAAUUUGUAACCUGUACAUGAUGUAUCUUAAUUCUUUUUUUCCCCUUUCCUUCCCCUCCCUUUAACCUCUUUUCCCUUCCUUAUUUACAAAAGCUUUGUUUCCAUUUUUCCCUUCUAUUUUUUUCUUUUUCCCUUCCUUCCUUGCCCCAUCCUCCUUCCCUAGUUCCCCUUCCCAUUUGAAUAUUUUCUUCCUAUUUCCCAGUAUCUAUCAUCCAUUUUAGUCCUUAUUUAUAAUUUCGGUUUUUUCACACCAGAGAAACCAUAUAAUAUUUGAAAAUGUGUAUCCCAUUAAUUUCACUUAAGAGUAUGGUCUCAAGGUGCAUCCAUUUACCUAGAAAUGUCUUAACGUUUCUCCUCUUUAUGCCAGAGUAGACAGGGUCUUGAUAAAUUGCCCGGGCUGUCCUUGAACUUGGAACCCUCCUAAGUAGCUGAGAUUACAAGUAUACCCCACCAGGCUUUAGAUUAAUGAGUUUUAACCAGGGGUGUGAAUCAAGUCUCUUAGAUAGAGCUUUUAUUUUUCCCUUCCUAGGUAGAGCUUCUGUCUUUUUCAAUUAAAAAGAAUUCUUUGGAAGAAACAAGUAUAAGCACAUUUUAAAAGAAUGACAUAGUGAGACAAAAACUGGGAGUGUUUAUAAUUUGAUUUUUUUCCCUUAAAAGUUUCCGGUUUCCUAAAUAGGUUAUACUUUUUAAGUUUUAUGUGAACUUUUUAAAAAGUUUCAGAUAAUAAGACAUCAGACAUAAAUGUAACCAUAGUUGUGAACCAUUGUACUAGAGAUGGGUAAUCUCUAAACUUGAUGAAAAUGCUUAAUGAAGGAACCUGAUUUUGUUAAAGCUGGUGAUAUUUUUUUAAUACCACAGUCCUCAAACCCCGACUUCAAGUAAGUUGCAGGUAGCAGAAUAAAGUCUAAGAGAUUAUAACAACACACGUUCAUUUAGACUGUAUGGAAAGAACUGAGAUCUGGACAUUAGAAGAUCAGGACUCUUUUAAUUCUGGUUCAGCAUUUGUGAUCACCUUUGGGCUUUUUUCUUUCUUCCUUUUUUUUUUUUAUACUGGGGUUUGAGUCCAGGGCCUUUGCACCCAGCUAUAUCCCCAGCCCUUUUUAUUUAUGUUUUAUUCACUAAGUUUCCAGGCUGUGCUCAAACUUGUGAUCCUCCUAUCUCAGCCUCCCAGCGUGCUUGGGUUACAAAUGUGUGUAUUCUACCACACGCAGCAGAGCCCUAAUAUUUUGGGGGGUUUUGUUUUGUAUUUGUGGUAUUUGGGAUUAACCUCAGGGCCUUUGUACUGAACUGCAUCCUCAGGUUUGUAUUUUUUUAUUUUGAGACAAGGUCUGGCCAAAUUGCCCAAGCUGGGCUCAAACUUUUUUUUUUGCAAUAUUGGGGAUCAAAGUCAGGACCUUGCGCUUGCGAGGCAGGUGAGGUGCCAGUGACUUAUAUCCCUGGCCCUGGCCUCAAAAUUUUUUUUUUUUUUUUUUUUUUGGUACCGGGGAUCAAACUCGGGUUCUUGAGCUUGUGCAGCAGGCAGCCAAACCACUGAGCUAAAUCCCCUGGCCUCAAAUUUUUGAUCCUCCUGCCUCAGCCUCCCAGAAUGCUGAGAUUGUAGGUAUGUGUUACAACUCCCAAAAGGGCCCUAGUGUUUUAAGUAGCAUAUAUAUUAACACAUUUACACCAGGGCUGUAAUUUGUAUGUCUCACUGUUGGGUUGCUUGAACCACCAGUGGUAUAUGCAUGAUGGGUGGCUUUUUAUUAAUUUUAGUAGUAAAAAGACUGAUAAAAGUGAUUAGAUCCAUUUGUACCACCAGUGGUACAAGCCACCCAAUGGGAUAUUCGGUCAUGUACCACCACUAGUGAUUCAAGCUGGCAGGAACAUAUUAAAGAUAGAAUUAGGGGGCUGGGGAUUUACCUCAGGGGUACCACACCUGCCUUGCAAGUGCAAGGCCCUGAGUUCGAUCCCGUACCAAAAAAAAGAUAGAAUUAAAAGCAAAAACUAAUUUUGUUGUUAGAAAAAUUAAUUAGUACUUUUAUUGUAGAAAAUUAGUAAAUAUCUAUAACCUCAAAGAAUAAAAUCAUAUAUAAUCUUGCUUCUCAGAGGUAACCAUUGUCCAUAUUUUGAUAUAUAGACAUUGUUUUUUUCCCAUAGGUUUUGACAAGACUGUCACUCCUGUUGGCAGAUAUGAGGGCAGUGCAAUUUAUUACCUUUAUCUUCCAUUGUAUAAAAGCUGACUAUAAUUUUUCCCUUCUUAGAAAUGAUGACCGGGAAAUUUUACUAGAGUGUCAGAAAAGACGGCCGUCACUGAAAACGUUCACAGAUUUAGCUGUC
rnacentral:lncRNA from 1 species